UGGGGAAUAUUGGACAAUGGGGGCAACCCUGAUCCAGCAAUGCCGCGUGUGUGAAGAAGGCCUUCGGGUUGUAAAGCACUUUUAUCGGGAACGAAACAUUGUCGGCCAAUACCCGGCAAGACUGACGGUACCCGAGGAAUAAGCACCGGCUAACUCCGUGCCAGCAGCCGCGGUAAUACGGAGGGUGCAAGCGUUAAUCGGAAUUACUGGGCGUAAAGCGUGCGCAGGCGGUCUGUUAAGUCUGCUGUGAAAUCCCCGAGCUCAACUUGGGAAUUGCAGUGGAUACUGGCAGGCUGGAGUACGGUAGAGGAAGGUGGAAUUCCCGGUGUAGCAGUGAAAUGCGUAGAGAUCGGGAGGAACACCAGUGGCGAAGGCGGCCUUCUGGACCAGUACUGACGCU
rnacentral:rRNA from 1 species